rnacentral:lncRNA from 14 species
UUGAAUUCACCAGUGGACAAAUGAUGACAACAGGUGAACAAGCCUUUUCUUGUUUAAGAUUAGUUACUGGUAAAUUAGUGUUGAAUUCUCUUCAGCUUCAUGCUGAAGCAGCUAGCAUGUAAUGUUUUGUUGGCCUUGGGGUGGAGGGGUGAGGUGGGCGCUAAGCCUUUUUUUAAGAUUUUCCAGGUACCCCUCACUAAAGGCACUGAAGGCUUAAUGUAGCACAGCGGAGCCUUCCUGUGGCAAGAGUCAAGCAAGCAAAGUGGUAUCAUGGUUGGUUUUGAUUAGCAGUGAGGACUACCCUACCUCAACACCUUGCUGGAGUUGAAAGAAACAUUCAAAGAAAAUACUUGAGAGGCCCUGGGCUUGUUUUAACAUCUGGAAAAGCUGUUUUUAUAGCAGCUGUUAGCAGCCCAAACCUCAAGUUGUGCUUGAAGGGGAGGGAAAAGAGGGAAAGUGGGCAACCAGUUUUCCCUAGCUUUUCCAGAGUCCUGUUACAAGGUCUCCCCACAAGUGAUUCUCUGCCACAUCGACACCCUGUGCCUUUGGCCUAAUCACAGACCCUUCACCCCUCACCUUGAUGCAGCCAGUAGCUGGAUCCUUGAGGUCAUGAUGCGUAAUCGGUUUCAAGGUUAUGCCCAAUCUGUGUAGUAUUGGGUUGACACAUCUACAAUAAGGAUUUUAUGAAAUAAAAACCAAUGCUCUCUCA